AUGUUCCCAGGAAGUACCAGUCAUUUACAAUUCAACCAAAAGUGGUGGGAAUUAAAUGUUACAAUUGACCCACAACAGAUAUGUGUAUUUAUUUUACCACAGUACCCUCUGAUAUGUGUAUUUAUACUACCACAGUACCCUCUGAUAUGUGUAUUUAUACUACCACAGUACCCUCUGAUAUGUGUAUUUAUACUACCACAGUACCCUCUGAUAUGUGUAUUUAUACUACCACAGUACCCUCUGAUAUGUGUAUUUAUACUACCACAGUACCCUCUGAUAUGUGUAUUUAUUUUACCACAGUACCCUCUGAUAUGUGUAUUUAUACUACCACAGUACCCUCUGAUAUGUGUAUUUAUACUACCACAGUACCCUCUGAUAUGUGUAUUUAUACUACCACAGUACCCUCUGAUAUGUGUAUUUAUACUACCACAGUACCCUCUGAUAUGUGUAUUUAUACUACCACAGUACCCUCUGAUAUGUGUAUUUAUACUACCACAGUACCCUCUGAUAUGUGUAUUUAUACUACCACAGUACCCUCUGAUAUGUGUAUUUAUACUACCACAGUACCCUCUGAUAUGUGUAUUUAUUUUACCACAGUACCCUCUGAUAUGUGUAUAUAUACUACCACAGUACCCUCUGAUGUGUAUUUAUACUACCACAGUACCCUCUGAUAUGUGUAUUUAUACUACCACAGUACCCUCUGAUGUGUAUUUAUACUACCACAGUACCCAACCCUCUGAUAUGUGUAUUUAUACUACCACAGUAGCCUCUGAUAUGUGUAUUUAUACUACCACAGUACCCUCUGAUAUGUGUAUUUAUAAUACCACAGUACCCUCUGAUAUGUGUAUUUAUACUACCACAGUACCCUCUGAUAUGUGUAUUUAUA
rnacentral:lncRNA from 1 species